UUUCGUCCAUUGGCGAUUUUUUUACCUUCGUACCACCAAUGUUGGUGUUUUGUUAGCUCUUAAUUGCAUCCAAAAAUGUCCAUCAAUCGCAUUAGGGCAAGUUGAAGCCAAGAAACAAAAUUGAUAUGACGACGCUGAGCUGACAAUGAGGUAUCAGCUCAACGUAAAUUAGUUACCACUUCUUUAUAGCAAAAAGCCAUUGCGUUAUGUGUCAAAAAGAUAUACCUAUAGAAGAAACUUAUUCUCGCAAGCGAUAUUACCAGGUGAAAUUUCAUAAGCAUUAUUGACUACGCAAAAAAAGCAUAUUUCACAUUUACGCCAUUAAUUAACUUCGCCGCGAAUUCGCAAAGCUCGCAAGGACAUUUCUGCGUAAAUAGUUUAAAGGGUGCAAGUGUAUUUGCGAAGCCAAAAAAAAAAAAAACACCAUGAUAGCUGUUCGUUAUCUUAUCGCUGACGACUGGCGCGCUGCGUUUCACACUAUAGACCCUUUUAUCCGCUUUGUGGCAGCAGUGUGUUCAAGACCCUAGAAAACUUCUCUUAUUUCUCUCUUCUGUUAUGUUGAACAGAACAUUUAGGUGAACUUAAGAUAUUCUUAGCAACAAUGUUACGUCAUACAUCUGUGUUGAACGGAUAAAUUGCUUUUCUUGGCAACGACCGCACCAAAUUUCAUGAGGUUUACUGCAUCUAAAAGGAAAACAUGAUAUCUAGAUGCUGUUGGUAGCGAUUUUUUAAAUUUAGGCCGUGAAUUGCAUAAUUAACAUUGCUGAAAGUCGCAAGGUUUCAGGAAACCAGAGUAACAAACUAACUCUAAUUUACCGAUGGAAAACCAUAUCGCAAUUCUCAGUUGCAUCUCGCCGUACAUCUAAGCCGAUAAAAUGCAAGAUGCAUGGCUCUCAAAUGCACUACUAAAGGUGAGUAGCACUUCGGGAAAAUCUUAAACAUUGCAACGAAUUCACAUCAGAUACAAAUUCGUAUAUCACAUCUGUCUGCUUUGGAUGUUCUCACGGAAGCAAUUCACGGAACUGCGACAUGUGUUCCAGGUGCAGAGCUCUGGAUUUGUAAACUUCGUGCUUUUUUUUUCAUACUUACGAACGUUUGGCAAUUUUUCAAAAACGUCAGGCCAUAAAUAUAAAUUACGCUUAUAGCAGUCUCGAGAAUUUAGCAUUUUCGCUCAAAUCAUAUUGACGGUUUGGCAUCUUUUCAUAAAUCUGAGAAGAAGACUAAAAAGCUUAUAAAAUCCACAAAUUUAAAAUUGGUCCACGGGCUGUCUCGGAAAGCAUUUGCGCGUUAACAUGUAUUUGAAUAGGCGGACUAGGGUUUGGGCCGAUCGAAAGCUUCCUUAAUAGAAAAACAAAUUUGGAGGCGGGACACUCCUGCCAGCGUACUUAUCAGUCUGCGCGCGCGUCACUGCGGCUAUAAUGAUUGAGACGACAACGACAAAAAAAAAAAAUGAAACGAAUAAGAAAUUUCAGUGAUAUUUCUCGCAUAUCCUAAUUACCGAGUAAAGCAUCUAAUGGCAUUUUCUGCUUCUUGAUACCGUUCUAGCUAUAUGGAGCUAUACUUCUGGGUUAAGAGAAAGUUGUUUUAAGCUUGAAGAAGCGUCUUUAUCUAAAUUUUACAGUAUGUCUGGAACGUUGGGACGCCGUUUCUUUAUUAGUGGCGUGAGAGAGCUGAUAGGUCGAUAUUUGGACAACUGCUUUCGCUGUGUCCUCUCUAGUGCGUCAAUGUUUGCUUAUGCUUUAGAAUACAAUAUUUCCGAAACGCUGAGUCACAAAUUUUUGACACAUACGAAUAGGUCACCAAUGACUGGUUUCCGAUUAGUGUUACAAUUUGUUGCUUGUAUUAGCCAACAUGAUUGAGUUCAAGAGACGGAACUGAUCAUUGGUGGAAGUGACUUCACCGAAAAGAACACAGUCAUCCAUAAACACCCCGACUUGAACUUAAAGUGGUUCAUCUACGCAAACAAUAUCAUUAGUGAAAAGGUAAAAUACAACGCUACGAGAACGCGUUCUUGAGGGACGCCCUAUGAAACCGGUAAUGGGUUAGACGAAACACUGUCAAUAAAAACAAACUGCGCGCGGUUAGUGAAAUAUCCUGUAUACCUAUUAAAUUGGAAUGGAGGAAGUCUCGUACAUUCUUCUGAAUGAGCUUAAUGUCGAAACAAGGCAUAAAGCUUCACUAAAAUAAAUGAAUACGAAUCAACCUGUCCUGCGUUAACGAGGUUAGUCGAAAGAGUGAACAACCGUCACACAAACUGUGUGACUGCGGAAAGCACUUUGUUAAAAAAGUGCUGCCAAGGGAAAAGUUUAUAUUUUUUCCGCCCUGUGCAAACAUCUUUCAAUAAAUAUGUAACGAGAAAUUUGCAAGUAGGACACUCGACUAACGUACUUACCCGUAGCCACACCCGUCUGCACGGCUAUAAUGAGGGCGAAGACAACGAAAAAAUAAUGAAACGAAUUAAAAGGAAUAUCAGUGCUAAUCCUCGCAUUUGUAGCAUUUAUAGGAAUUCGCGCUUUUUCAUACCGUUGUAGCACUCUCAGAGAUCGCUAUAACUACAUCACAAUGGUUUGAUACGGCAAUCACUUAUGAUAGAAGGAACUGUGCAAGAUAUCUGCAUAUUUAAGAAAGAAAAAGACUGCACUGGUAACCCCUCUU